GCCGAACGUGGAACUGGCUUCUAGCACGUUUCUUCAAUGGGGUUUUGCUGCAUCGAUCUUGAGAUUAAUAAAAUCACAAAUUUAGUAGUAAUCAACAGUCUAGCUAGCAGCUACAUAGAGGCGGGUUGAACAGUCAAGGCUUUACAAACCACGGGGGUGAAUGAGGAAGGAUGCCUCACGUUUGUUGAGCGAUGACCACUCCAGAUCAUGGCUUCCUGACAUGGUUCUUGUUUGCAAAGUGGAACAAUUGUGCAUCCAAUCCACGGCUGCUGGCGAAAAGAGGAGAAAUUAGUAUGGAGUACCUGUGGAGAGUGAGGCGAUUACUGCACUGGGCAGGAAAGUGUAUGGCACCUGCGUAGACAGAGCCAUUUAGGUCGGCUCCUCGGGAACAUCCCCUCCGCUGUAUAAGCAUUAGACAGCAGCAUAUACUGAAGAUAUACAUUGGGCAGCAUCAUUUUGAGUACACAAAUAUAUGGCCAACAAUCAAGAAAAUCGGACAACGUAUAGGAGAGAAAAGAUCAACGAAAUUUAACAUAGAGGAGACAAAAUUUGUCCAUCACUCCUAUCUGAAUCUCCUAUCUGUCUCUGCUAGAACAUACACAAGGGGAGGAGGCUAGGAUCUGUAUCACUUCCGCUGUUGCAUCAAGAUUAUUUCCCACUGCCUCACCGCUAGAAGAAAUUUUCUUCACCCGUCAAUGAUGAGGAGAGAGUCGAGGUCGGAGAGCACGCGAUCGAGGGUCAUGGAGAGCGCAACAGUCUUUGUGGAGUCAUCGUGGCCUUGUGCACGGCUUGUGCACCCUCGCCGGCGCCGCCUCCUCCUCAGUCACCAAUUCCAACCCCUAGGCUGAUUCCCUCGUGCACUUCGGCUGGAUCCACCGAGAUGAACACGCACCGCUGGACCGCCUCGAUCCCCUCGCGCGGGAUCCCGUUGCGCGCCUCAGCUGGAUCCACCAAGAAGACCGCGCACCUCGGCAGGAUCUCACUGCAGAUGGCCUGCAUCAACGUGGGGACGAAGCAGAGUGGGAGGAGCUCCAGGCCGCCAUCGCCAUGGGAUGUGGUGCCUCCGCCGCAUCUGGGAAGGUGCCGUGACCCCGCCUCGGAUGAUGCAAUCGCCUUGGAGGGAGGGAGGCAUCGCAG
rnacentral:lncRNA from 1 species